rnacentral:rRNA from 1 species
UGCAACGGGUAACGGGGAAUUAGGGUUUGAUUCCGGAGAGGGAGCUUGAGAAACGGCUACCACUUCCAAGGAAGGCAGCAGGCGCGAAAAUUACCCAAUCCCGACUCGGGGAGGUAGUGACAACAAAUAACAAUACGGGUCCUUCAACGGGUCUUGUAAUUGGAAUGAGAACAAUUUAAACCCCUUAACGAUGAGCAACUGGAGGGCAAGUCUGGUGCCAGCAGCCGCGGUAAUUCCAGCUCCAGUAGCGUAUAUUAAAGUUGUUGCGGUUAAAAAGCUCGUAGUUGGAUUUCAAGGGUUUUGGAGGCUGGGCAGCGCAUCUCGUUCGACCUGGCCACCGGAUCCUUUUCCCUUCUGGAAGUUCGCCGCUGCCCUUCGCUGGGUGGCGGUUUGUUCCUUGCGAUUGGUUUCGGCCCGUCGUGGGGACGAACUCCAGAUCUUUUACUUUGAAAAAAUUAGAGUGUUCAAAGCAGGCGGUUUGUGCCUUGAAUACAUUAGCAUGGGAUAAUGCCAUAGGACUCUGUUCCUAUUUCGUUGGUUUCUAGGAAACGGAGUAAUGAUUAAUAGGGACAGUUGGGGUGAUUCGUAUUUAAUUGUCAGAGGUGAAAUUCUUGGAUUUUUGAAAGACGAACUUCUGCGAAAGCAUUUCACAAGGAUGUUUUCAUUAAUCAAGAACGAAAGUUGGGGGAUCGAAGGCGAUCAGAUACCGUCGUAGUCUCAACCAUAAACUAUGCCGACCAGGGAUCGGGAGACGUUACUCUAAGACUCCUCCGGCACCUUGUGAGAAAUCAUAAGUUUUUGGGCUUCGGGGGGAGUAUGGUCGCAAGGCUGAAACUUAAAGGAAUUGACGGAAGGGCACCACCAGGAGUGGAGCCUGCGGCUUAAUUUGACCCAACACGGGAAAACUUACCAGGUCCAGACAGCAGAAGGAUUGACAGAUUGAGAGCUCUUUCUUGAUUUGCUGGGUGGUGGUGCAUGGCCGUUCUUAGUUGGUGGGGUGACCUGUCUGGUUAAUUCAGGUAACGAGCGAGACCUCAGCCAGCUAAAUAGCGCUGCGGGCCGCUGCCCCUCGGGGCGGGCCCUGCUUUAGAGCUAAUUAGCGGGACACUCCGCAUCUAGCGGACGGAAGCUUGAGGCAAUAACAGGUCUGUGAUGCCCUUCGAUGUUCUGGGCUGCACGCGCGCUACACUGAUGAAGUCAACGAGUAUGACCACCUUGCCCGAAAGGGCUGGGCAAUCUUCUGAAACUUCAUCGUGCUGGGGAUAGAUCAUUGCAAUUAUUGAUCUUCAACGAGGAAUUCCUGGUAAGCGUGAGUCAUCAGCUCGCGUUGAUUACGUCCCUGCCCUUUGUACACACCGCCCGUCGCUCCUACCGAUUGGAUGAUCCGGUGAACACUUCGGACGGCCGAUACGGCGUUAGCGGCAACGUUGGCGCCAUUCGGCCGGAAGUUGUGUAAACCUUAUCAUCUAGAGGAAGGAGAAGUCGUAACAAGGUC